rnacentral:rRNA from 1 species
UACGAGGGGGCUAGCGUUGCUCGGAAUGACUGGGCGUAAAGGGCGCGUAGGCGGUUUGUACAGUCAGGUGUGAAAUUCCCGGGCUCAACCUGGGGGCUGCACUUGAUACGUAGGAACUGGAGUGGGGAAGAGGGUCGUGGAAUUCCCAGUGUAGAGGUGAAAUUCGUAGAUAUUGGGAAGAACACCGGUGGCGAAGGCGGCGACCUGGUCCUUGACUGACGCUGAGGCGCGAAAGCGUGGGGAGCAAACAGG